GUCCACGCCCUAAACGAUGUCAACUAGUUGUCGGAGAAGCAAUUCUUUGGUAACGCAGCUAACGCGUGAAGUUGACCGCCUGGGGAGUACGGUCGCAAGAUUAAAACUCAAAGGAAUUGACGGGGACCCGCACAAGCGGUGGAUGAUGUGGAUUAAUUCGAUGCAACGCGAAAAACCUUACCUACCCUUGACAUGUCCAGAACCCUGAUGAAAGUUGGGGUGCCCGAAAGGGAAUUGGAACACAGGUGCUGCAUGGCUGUCGU
rnacentral:rRNA from 1 species